rnacentral:rRNA from 1 species
CCUACGGGUGGCAGCAGUGAGGAAUAUUGGUCAAUGGACGAGAGUCUGAACCAGCCAAGUAGCGUGAAGGAUGACUGCCCUAUGGGUUGUAAACUUCUUUUAUAUGGGAAUAAAAUGUUCCACGUGUGGGCUUUUGUAUGUACCCUAUGAAUAAGGCUCGGCUAACUCCGUGCCAGCAGCCGCGGUAAUACGGAGGAUCCGAGCGUUAUCCGGAUUUAUUGGGUUUGAAGGGAGCGUAGGUGGGUUUGUAAGUCAGUUGUGAAAGUUUGCGGCUCAACCGUAAAAUUGCAGUUGAAACUGGCAGUCUUGAGUGCAGUAGAGGUGGGCGGAAUGCGUGGUGUAGCGGUGAAAUGCUUAGAUAUCACGAAGAACUCCGAUUGCGAAGGCAGCUCACUGGACUGCAACUGACACUGAGGCUCGAAAGUGUGGGUAUCAAACAGGAUUAGAUACCCGUGUAGUC